UGCAUCGGCCGGGAACCGAACUCGGACCGCCGGACCACCCGCGUGGCAGGCGAGCAUUCUACCACUGAACCACCGAUGC